AGACCUAAAUUGGUCUUUCAGCCAAAUUUACUAAUACUAAGUAAAAAUUACUUAGUAUUAGUAAAUUAUGCCCCUACUCGCUAUACCGCGAGUAGGGGCAUGUCCUGUGGCCUGUGGCUGCUCACUAUUAAAAAAAAUAAAAGAAAAAAAAGGGCAGCGGGUGGGGGCCCUAAAUUAGAAUAAGGGUGGGGACCUAUUGACCCCCACAGCCCCCACCCCUGAGCGGCGGAGGGGCCCUAAAGUAAAAUAAAGGGGGGAACCUAUUGUCCUCCCCCCGGCCCCCACCCCUGAGCGGCGGGUGGGGGCCCUAAAUUAGAAUAAGGGGGGGACCUAUUGCCCCCUGGCCCCACCCUGAGCAGUGGGUGGGGGCCCUAAAUUAGAAUAGGGGGACACAC